rnacentral:lncRNA from 10 species
AGUCUAGUCUGUGACCUGAGCCAUCAUGGUAGGGUGUCCAGGGUGAGGGGAGGGUGGUGUGAAUCCCCAGUAAUGCAGGUCCUUUCCAGGCCAGGCCCCUGGUCCCCAGGAGUGCGGGGAUGCCUGAGGUCUACUGCUGCCUUAUCCAGAGCUGCCAUCCCCGGCGAUGACUCAGAGUUCCUGUGGCCCCAGCAUCAUCCCUCCAUCCCUGGCUGUGAGGCAGGAGCAGAGUUGCAGACCUGAGAGGCCUUGAAUUUGUUUGAUAUAGGACUUUGCCACCAGACAAAGUGCUUUGCCUGUGAGGUCUGGCUUGGCCUGGCCUCUGAGAAAGAACAAACACAGACCUCACUGGAAGGAACCUGGAGAACGGGAGAGGAGAGGCUGCUGCUGUCUGCCCUCCCAGCAGCAGAUAUAAAGACAAUGGGCUUCUAAGUCCCCUAGAGUCCCAGCUGUGUAAUUUAAGGCGAGUUCAUCUCUCACAGCCUCAGUUUCCUCAUUUGCUGGCACCUGUCUUUCUCCUUCAUAGCCAUUGUCACUGUUGCAAUGAUAUCAACAAUGCUUACAUUUCAGAUAGAUCCCCAGCUGGGUUGAAAGGAACGUCAAGACCCUUCCUUUCUUAUGACCUAUGUAUCAACUCCCUUCUACCUUGCCUCCCUCCACUUGGAGCGAGUUCUAGUUGGUGAAAUGUAGCCAGAGGUUCCUGGAAAGGCUUUCCUUCUCAAGUAAAGCCUGGCUCAGAGAAAACCACUGGUCUCUUUCCUUUUCUUCCUCCUGACAUGAACAUGGGGCAGGAAGGAGCAUGGAGAAGACAAGAACAAGGCUCUCAGAAGGAAAUGGUGUGGCUGGAGCCAUGAGAACUGGUUGUGGAGGGGGCAAAUAUAAUUUCUGACCUACGUAAUGAUGUAUGCACAAGAAGCCUCUCUUGAAUGUAUUAAUUCAGUAAACAGUUAUGGAGUCCUUACAAUGUGCUAGUGGGACUUUGAAGAUGAAUCCAAAUUUGGAUCCUGGCCUGGAAAGGCUCAAAGCCCAAUAUGGGAGUGAUUCUGAGCAGAAACAAAGGGGAACGUAUGUCUUCAUUGUGACUCAGCGAGCAAAGAGAUGGAGUCUUUUCCAAGAAGAAAGUGGGAGAUUUGGGACCACUGACAUAUUUGGCCCACUGAUUCCAUUCCCCUAGACCAACACGUGUUCAUCAAAUUGCAUCACUCUUAUGGGGAACUUAAUGCAACUCCGGUGCCCAUUGCAUUAGUUUUUGAUGAUGGAAUUCUCUUUGUGAACUUGAACUUGAGGGGUCUGGCUACCCCUCUGAGACUUCUUUUUUGAGAUAAAAUCAUAUAACAU